GAACAAACCACAGAUCUUUAAGCGGGCUCUCUCAUUUGCUGCUUUGCUCUGCCUUCAUCUUUAUGACAUCAUCACUGUACUACACCGCAGGCAAGUGGCUGUUCUCCAACCAUGAAGGUUCAAGUCUGUAAAAGUCAGGUCUGCACUUGCCUUCCAAAGUGUGGCUGCAUCUUCCUCUUCUUGGUUAUAUUUGUAUUCAUCUUGAUAAUAUAUAUCAUGGACAUUCUGGCGUUCUUGAAUAAAGCGAACACCAUCGUCAUCAUCCCAAGUGUUUCCCCGUUCACCCCACCUUCUGAGAUGCAUUACAACUGUAAAUUCCAACCGUUUUCUGGUACAGAUGCUCAUGAAGAACACCUCCUACUACAGUCCAUUGCUUGGCCUGAAACUCCACCAUUACCAUCACCUGUGUCCAUGAACAGAACCAGUGAUCCAGCACACAGCACCUUCACCAUUCUUCCAGGGAGAGAAGGGGAACAGUGGCAUAUUGGGGAUAAG
ensembl:lncRNA